CGUGUAGGCGGCUCAUCAAGUCCGGUGUGAAAACGCAGGGCUUAACCCUGCUCAUGCGCUGGAAACUGGUGGGCUGGAGUUCUUGAGGGGAAGCUGGAAUUCCAGGUGUAGGGGUGAAAUCUGUAGAUAUCUGGAAGAACACCGGUGGCGAAGGCGAGCUUCUAUCAGAGGACUGACGCUGAGGCGCGAAAGCGUGGGGAGCAAACAGGAUUAGAUACCCUGGUAGUCCACGCUGUAAACGAUGUGCACUAGGCGUGGGGCCCGUACGGGUUCCGUGCCGUAGUUAACGUGAUAAGUGCACCGCCUGGGGAGUAUGCUCGCAAGGGUGAA
rnacentral:rRNA from 1 species